rnacentral:rRNA from 1 species
UACGUAGGGGGGCAAGCGUUGUCCGGAGUUACUGGGCGUAAAGCGCACGCAGGCGGUCUCUUAAGUUUGGAGUGACAGUUGGUGGCUUAACUGCCAAAGUGCUUCGAAAACUGAGAGACUUGAGGGCUUCAGAGGGACACGGAAUUCCGGGUGGAGUGGUGAAAUGCGUAGAGAUCCGGAGGAACACCAAAGGCGAAGGCAGUGUCCUGGGGAGUACCUGACGCUCAGGUGCGAAAGCCAGGGGAGCGAACGGG